CUGUUCGUCGUUGUUUCUUGUGAAUUUCGUGUGCUACUCCAAUUCCUGAUAGAAUUGAUUUCUGAAGUCGUGUGGACUGGGCGAUCGGGGUUCAAGCUCAUUUAUGAUUUGCUGGUUCUUGUCAGAAGAGAUGAUAGAUAAUUGCAACUGCUCCGAGCUCAUCAGGAGGAGGGAAGCUUUCUCCAUUGCUAAAAGAAUUGUCUAUGAAAUCUGGUUCAAUUCCAUAAAUGGGAUUCCACCAAUAGAAAGACCAGCCUAUCGCUAAGGUAAUACUAGUUGUUCUUGCUAAGGUAUGAAAGAUCAGGAGAGGCUGGAGAGAUUUUGGUUGUGGAUUUCUUCGUGAGUACAGUGGGUACAUUGAAAGAAGACUCCUUUCGUUACUUCCUAUACUAUUCUGUCCAUUCUAGCUGUGGAAAGAGUUUCUUGCUAGGUGUCUGAUGCUGACCUUUGAAACCAUGCCAAUUUAAGUGGGUGCCAUUCUGCAAAAAAUUUAACAUCAAGCCUCGCCCUCCUGAGUUUUAUUUCUCCCAAAAGAUUGAUUACUUGGAGGACAAGUGC